AGAAUCAAUGGCGCCUCCAUGGCAGGGAGAGGGAAUCCCCUUCACUUCCUCCUGGGCAGUAUCUAGCCAUAAUGUAUCAGUGGACAAGAGCCACAUUAGUGACAUCUUAGCUCCACUUCAACAGGACAAUCUUAGACUGACCAGUGACAAUGCCUUGGGAACAGGCCUUGACAUCUGUGAUUACAGGACCUGUAUCUGUGGUAGAAUUGGAGAAUGUUCAUCCUUGUCCUCGUCCCAUCUGGCAGGGCAUCAUGCAUCUGGCUCAGGAUUCAUGUUGAGCACCGGUGACAUGGGACUGAUGUCAACUGCAGCUGUAUAUAGCAAAGGCACUCCCAUUCAGAAUUUACAAGGCACUUGUACCUUAAUUAACAGAACUUAUAUCCAAUAAAUACUAAACUCACUUAAAUUUCAAUAAAAUUAAAUGUCCAUGCUUA
rnacentral:lncRNA from 1 species